rnacentral:rRNA from 1 species
AUGGUUGAGGGCGCCGCCCAACUCCUGGCCGACGGAUUCGCUGGCUCCCCGCUCCUCGGGGCCAGCCCAUCCUCCGUGUCGGGUCGAGCAUCGACUUGGAGGCCACUUGGGGCUGCCGCCGGUGCGGGAGUCCCGUGCAGCCGUGAGGGCUGGGGACCGAGCGGCGGGGCCCGUGGUGCGACGCUUGAUGGAUGGCCUGCACAGCGUGGACGACUGCUUAUCUCCCGGGAGGGCCAUAGGCAGAAACUUGUCCUGUCACGCAGGUGCUACCAAUCUGCAUCAAACUGUUGGGCCAUGGUGAGAGCCUCGAUUCGCUCCCUCUCCGCCGCCUCGUCUACCAUUAUUGGCCUAGAUUGA